rfam:Gossypium raimondii Chr02_contig_983, whole genome shotgun sequence.
UUUCUAAAAUGGAUUACUAAUCCUUAAAUUUUUGAGGAAUCCUUCAUCAGUGGUUGUCAAUGACUAAUUUUUCUUAAUCUUUUUGACCUUGGUUCCAUAGGACCAAGUCAGAAAGAUUGAAAUGGGAUUAGAUACCCCAGUAGUCCUAGCCGUAAAUGAUGGAUACUAGGCGCUGUGUGUAUCGGCCCGUGCAGUGCUGUAGAUAACGAGUUAAGUAUGCCACUUGAGGAGUACGUUCGCAAGAAUAAAACUCAAAGGAAUUUACGGGGGCCCGCACAAGUGGUGGAGCAUGUGGUUAAUUCGACGCAAAGUGAAGAACCUUACAAGGGCUUGACCUACAGCGAAUCCUCUUAAAAGAGAGGGGUGCCUUCGGGAACGCGGACACAGGUGGUGCAUGGCUAUCGUCAGCUCGUGCCGUAACGUGUUGGGUAAGUCCCGUAACGAGUGCAACCAUCAUGUUUAGUUGCCACUAUUGAGUUUGGAACCCUGAGCAAACUACCAAUGAUAAGUCAGAGGAAGGUGAGGAUGACAUCAAGUCAUUAUGCCCCUUAUGCGCUGGGUGACACACAUGUUACAAUGGACAGGACAAAGGGUCACGAUCCCGCGAGGGUGAGCUAACUCUAAUAAUACGUCCUCAGUUCUGAUUGCAGGCUACAACUCGCUUGCAUAAAUCCAGAAUUCCUAGUUAUCGUCGAUCAGCCAUACGGUGCUGUAUUCGUUCCCGGGCCUUGUACACAUUACCCGUCACACUAUGGGAGCUAGCCAUGCCCGAAGUCAGUACCUUAAUCGCAAUGAGAGGGAUGCCAGAGGCAGGUCUAGUGACUAGAGUGAAGUCGUAACAAGGUAGUCGUACUGAAAGGUGUGGUUGGAUCACUUCCUUU